GGUGGCUCAAUGGUAGAGUGCUUGCCUUGCAUGCAUGAGGCCCUGGGUUCGAUUCCUAAAGCACCA
rnacentral:tRNA from 1 species